rnacentral:misc_RNA from 1 species
UUAAGUUCAGCGGGUAUCCCUACCUGAUCCGAGGUCAACCAUAGAAAAUUAGGGGUUGAUGGCAAGCAUCCACCGGGACUCUAUAGCGAGAAGUAUUACUACGCUUAGAGCCAGGUGGCACCGCCACUAGUUUUAAGGGCUGCCGGUAACAGCAAGCCCCAACACCAAGCUAGGCUUGAGGGUUAUAAUGACGCUCGAAC